UAGAGAGAAAGGCAAAAUCAUUGAAAAAUGAUGACGCAAAGCUAAAGGGGCUAAGGGAAUUUUUCUACGCCAGCCAGCUACCGUC
rnacentral:ncRNA from 1 species